AACGAACGCUGGCGGCAGGCUUAACACAUGCAAGUCGAACGGGUGUAGCAAUACAUCAGUGGCAGACGGGUGAGUAACACGUGGGAACCCUCCUAGAGGUACGGAACAACUCAGGGAAACUUGAGCUAAUACCGUAUACGCUCGUGAGAGGAAAGAUUUAUCGCCUUUAGACGGGCCCGCGUCGGAUUAGCUAGUUGGUGAGGUAACGGCUCACCAAGGCGACGAUCCGUAGCUGAUCUGAGAGGAUGAUCAGCCACACUGGAACUGAGACACGGUCCAGACUCCUACGGGAGGCAGCAGUGGGGAAUCUUGGACAAUGGGCGCAAGCCUGAUCCAGCCAUGCCGCGUGAGUGAAGAAGGCCUUCGGGUUGUAAAGCUCUUUUGUCAGGGACGAUAAUGACGGUACCUGAAGAAUAAGCCCCGGCAAACUUCGUGCCAGCCGCCGCGGUAA
rnacentral:rRNA from 1 species